rnacentral:lncRNA from 1 species
AGAAAAAUGACUGUUUGCAAUUCAAAGACUCAUGAACUAAUAAACAUUACUGUAUUACACUUGAAAUUAUGGAGUAAUUUGCAAAUUUUCACACGAUUUGUUAUUUUUCCAGUGUAAAAUGUAAACAUGGCAUUUAGCAGCAUUUAAGUUGCAGUAAAUGUGCAGUUGUAGCUUCAGUGAUUAUCAGAUUACUGUAUAUACAAUUAUGUAAAUGUAUUGCUUCAUUUAACAUUCUGGUUUAAGAUGGAAUUUAUUCCAGAAUUGGUUUGCAUAUCAUUUUCUUGGUAGUAUAGUGGUAAAGUUGUAAAAGAUUAUUUCAUAUUCUGACACAGAAAAUGUGAGUUGUGUGUAGAAAGGUUCUACUAGUUGUCAUGUAGAUUAAUGCAAUAUAUGCAAAUUUUAUUUGAAAGUAUGACUGAUUAUCAGGAAUUAAGCAUAAUGGGAAAUUUAUCAUUCCUCAUGUCAAGGCACAUGUAGUAUACAUGUAGUUUGCCUUUUAGUACAGUGUUCCAAAUACAAAGGGUAUUAAAAUAGGAAAGGUCAAGAGUUCAGCUCUUCAUGUGAAGCUCGAGUAGAAAGUUACUUACAAACAUAAAAUGUGUGUUUACGGUACAGUCUAGUUGUUGGUUGUAUGUUUAACUUGACACAUCACUCUCAGAUCUCCCAUCGUCUGAGUCAGUAGGAGGAUUUAGUUUUGGAUUAAAACAUUUUUUUAGUGUCAUUCCUGGUGUCGGGAAUUAUAGUGAGGAAGCAGCGUGGUUGCUUACAGUUAUCUUUGGAGUCGUCGAUGUUUACCAAAAUGAUUCUAAUUUCUGACAAGGAAUGUUGGGAGUUCUGAUAGGGUUGUCAUGGUGAUGUUGAGAAGGAUAUUUGUUUUAUGUAAGUGCAUUUGAUAUACACUUGGUGCAUUUUAUGCAAAUGUCAAAGCUUUGGAAAUUACUUAGUAGUUUGCUGAAAAGAAACUCUUCAGAUAUUUUAUGUUGAUAUUAAUGGUCAAGAUCAUUGAAUAGGUUAAGGGUGAUUAGUUAUUUAAAGGUGUGAAGAAAAAAAAAGGUCACUUGAACAGUAUAAGAAGUUGAAGAAUUUAAAGGAACAAUGAUUUAUUGCAAGUAGCAAUUGUGGAUAGACUUAAUUUUGAAAUGUUUCAAAUGAACAAAGUAUUGUUAAAUGUUCAGAAAGGCUUCUCAUUUAAGAGGGCCGGAAUGUGGAGUACAGGAUGACGUUUUGCUUUAAGCCGAUUCUUGUGAUGUCACAGGCGUCGCUUUGUAGAAAGUGUAUGGAUUAGGUCGCUUGAGGGCGUACUGGAUUUUGUGUGUUACUGAUUUUCCACGUCAUGGGAUAGUUGCCUCCCAGAGUUGCCUAAGUUUUCGUUUAAUUUUGUGAUACAAGCCCAAUGAUAUUGAACCUUGCCUGCUACAGUCUAUAACCAAA